GGGAAUAUUGGACAAUGGGCGAAAGCCUGAUCCAGCCAUGCCGCGUGUGUGAAGAAGGUCUUCGGAUUGUAAAGCACUUUAAGUUGGGAGGAAGGGCAGUAAGUUAAUACCUUGCUGUUUUGACGUUACCGACAGAAUAAGCACCGGCUAACUCUGUGCCUG
rnacentral:rRNA from 1 species